AUCCUGUAUAUUUCUCUUUGGAGUUGCUUAAGAAAACUGAACACUUUUGCAUUUCAUCAUAAAUCAAAUGCUCAUUUUUGUCAGCUUUUCAAUUUUUUUUUUCUUCACAUUCAACUUUGAAAAAAUUAGGGACAAAAUUGAAAAAUGAUUAUACCUUUAGGACGAAAUUAUAUUCAGUAUAGUCCAUUCAAUGAAAGUUAAGAUUGAUUUGGGUGCCCUAAGAUUGGAAGAACUAUGUUUAUAAAGUGUGGAUGCCAAGUCACUCUUAUUCUUUUCUGCAAAAAGCAUAUGGUUGUUUUGUGUGCAAGUUAUGUAACCUUUUCAAUAGUGAGGAUUGUUAACUUAGAACUGAAAUCUAAAUCGAGCAUUUUAAAGAUUGAGGAUAAAUAAUAAAGUAAUGAUCGUUCAGGGCAAAUAUAAGAGUUGAACAGUAAUUAGGGAGGAUAAAAUGCUUUACAUCUUUGAUUCUAGGCUUCUUUAUUCCAUUGUAUAAUGGAUGCAAUUAAGUCUUGGCUGUGCAGAUCACACUCAACAGUGAAUCCUUGGUACAGUGAUGCUUAGAAAAUUGUGCUAAAAUUUACUGCUGCUACUUGAAAA